rnacentral:lncRNA from 1 species
AUUCAAAAAAGAGCAGUUUGCGAGAUUCGCUGGGAUUUGCCCUGAUAGGUUGUUGGAUGAGAGAUCCAGGAUUACCACAAAACCUAUAAUUUUGGAGAUAUCUCGUGGAAUACUUCCAUUGAGCUCGUUGCUCGAAAGAUCUAAUGAUGUCAUAGAGGUACAAUUCUGAAUACCACGUGAAAACCUGCCCUUAAGACCCAUGUCAGGAAGAGUGAUACUCAGAAGAUGGAAUACUUCCACUGAGCUUGUUGCUCGAAAGAUCUAAUGAUGUCAUAGAGGUACAAUUCUGAAUACCACGUGGAAACCUGCCCUUAAGACCCAUGUCUGGAAGAGUGAUACUCAGAACCUUGCUUUCAUCCGGAUGCCAACACUGAAUCCCAGUAAAUUUGCAGAUGAAACCUUCGGUCUGAUUAUCGAAGUUCCAUGUUGACCCCAAGUAAUCUAAUGGAUCUUCUAACGACUCUUUUACAGAUUUCAGACAGUCAAUAUCGCUUUGAACAGCACAGCAAACAUCGAAACACAUGACCAAGUAGAUCAAAAUAGAAGCAAGAGUGGUAAGAGCUCUGUUAUCCAAUGCCAUCUUGGUGAAAGGCCCGGUCAUAAUUGCAUCGAUCGAAGGGCCUAGUUACGUAGUUGAAUGAAACAUUUAAGAUCUCUUUAGACUAGUUCACAACCCCAAACAAUGUGAAAUGCAUUGCAAGUACAAAUCCAAUUUCUCCUGAGCUAAAUCCAGAAACCUACAAAACAGUGAAGGGGAAAUUUAAGAACUGCAGGGAAAAAGUUAUAUGACGAGUCAGUUCGAUCAAUCAGUCAAUCAACUAUAACUCAAUUCCAAACUAGUCGAGA